rnacentral:rRNA from 1 species
GCACAAGCAGCGGAGCGUGUGGUUUAAUUCGAUGUUACACGAAGAACCUUUACCAGGGUUUGACAUGCAAGUGGUAGGAAGCCGAAAGGUGACCGACCCUUCGGGGAGCUUGCACAGGUGCUGCAUGGCUGUCGUCAGCUCGUGUCGUGAGAUGUUCGGUUAAGUCCGCUAACGAGCGCAACCCUCGCUGUGUGUUAUAUGUGUCACACGGGACUGCCGGUCUUAAGCCGGAGGAAGGUGGGGAUGAUGUCAAGUCAGCAUGGCCUUUAUAUCCUGGGCUACACACACGCUACAAUGGCCAACACAAUAGGUUGCUAAGCCGCGAGGUGGCGCCAAUCCUGAAAGCAGGCCUCAGUUCAGAUUGCAGUCUGCAACUCGACUGCAUGAAGCCGGAGUUGCUAGUAACCGCAGGCCAGCAAUACUGCGGUGAAUACGUUCCCGGGUCUU